rnacentral:rRNA from 1 species
CUACGGGCGGCUGCAGCUAAGAAUCUUCCGCAAUGGGCGAAAGCCUGACGGAGCGACGCCGCGUGGGUGAAGAAGGCCGAGAGGUUGUAAAGCCCUUUUCUGCUUGAGGAAUAAGCGUCGGAGGGAAUGCCGGUGUGAUGACGGUAGGGCAGGAAUAAGCCCCGGCUAAUUACGUGCCAGCAGCCGCGGUAACACGUAUGGGGCGAGCGUUGUUCGGAAUCAUUGGGCGUAAAGGGCGUGUAGGCGGAAAUGCAAGUCUGGUGUGAAAGACCGCAGCUCAACUGCGGGACCGCGCUGGAAACUGCAUAUCUUGAGUUCCGGAGGGGGAGUUGGAAUUCCUGGUGUAGGGGUGAAAUCUGUUGAUAUCAGGAAGAACACCGGUGGCGAAGGCGAACUCCUGGACGAGAACUGACGCUGAGGCGCGAAAGCGUGGGGAGCGAACAGGAUUAGAUACCCUCGUAGUC